GAUGAACGCUGGCGGCGUGCCUAAUACAUGCAAGUCGAGCGAACGGACGAGAAGCUUGCUUCUCUGAUGUUAGCGGCGGACGGGUGAGUAACACGUGGAUAACCUACCUAUAAGACUGGGAUAACUUCGGGAAACCGGAGCUAAUACCGGAUAAUAUUUUGAACCGCACGGUUCAAAAGUGAAAGACGGUCUUGCUGUCACUUAUAGAUGGAUCCGCGCUGCAUUAGCUAGUUGGUAAGGUAACGGCUUACCAAGGCAACGAUGCAUAGCCGACCUGAGAGGGGGAUCGGCCAACCUGGAACUGAGACACGGUCCAGACUCCUACGGGAGGCAGCAGUAGGGAAUCUUCCGCAAUGGGCGAAGGCCGGACGGGCAACGCCGCGUGAGUGAUGAAGGUCUUCGGAUCGUAAAACUCUGUUAUUAGGGAAGAACAUAUGUGUAAGUAACUGUGCACAUCUUGACGGUACCUAAUCAGAAAGCCACGGCUAACUACGUG
rnacentral:rRNA from 1 species